UUAAAUCGACCAGUUAAUCACUGUACUAACUAUUAUCUCUUAUCACUUUACAUAGUAUUCAUUUGAGAUAUCGUGUACAAUCUGUCACAGCAUUUUUCUUUAUUUUACUUUUAUUUAUUCGUUAUUCACGAUGAGUGGGGACUAAACAAUGAAACAACAUGGAAAGGGGACUGGAGGCAUCCAAGUGUCAUCAGCAUUGGACCCAUAUAGAGAUCUUAAUUCGGGCUUGAUGUCAUCGGUCAAGAUGUAGUCAGGAGAGGUGGUAAACUUACACCGGUGACGUCGGAGACGUAACUGAACAUCGCGUUGAACAUAACCAUCCGGCCACCGGCCAGUGACGUGGGCAACGCCUCGACAACGCCGACCACCUCCAUGCGGAGCUCGUCG